UUAGAAGAAGUCGUCUUCGGCCCCUCCAAACUUCAUUCGCUUGCUUUGUAGUUCCAGAUCUUCAUCAAGUCAAGAAACCCCAGUUGCAAACAAUAAAUACCGCACUUGUACGGUUUACUCCAGGAUUGACCGAUACUUUAACCAAUACGGCAUGCCUGUGCAAUUUACUCACUACUAUUCCAGAUUUUUCAGAUAGAAUUAGAGUUUAUAAAGCACUUGGAACUCUGUGCAGAAAGUGCAGAAAGCAUUAUUGCAGUCGGAUGUCCAUGCAAAAUCUGAUAAAAGUCCUGUAACAGUAGCUGUGUAGCACUUGGUGUAUGAUAAAAUUAGCGACGAGGUAUGUUAUAAACGGUAAUGACUUUUACAAAUAAUCCCACGAUUGAAUUUAUUACAGGGUAGUGGAGAGAGGUUUUCUCCAAUUAAAUGAAGCAGAGCCUGGUCUACUUGAACAAGAACUUAAACUAACUGCUUGUAGAGUAACAUCUGUGCAGUGUCUUGUUCUUUAAAGGAGGUGAGAUUAUUGUAUACUUGUUGUAGCAAAUUAGUGACCCCGUCAAAUUUCUUGGAAGGCGCUGAAUAUUAGAUGAGAAUGAUAUUAAGAAGCAAGAGGAAAAGCUAGAGGCAGGUCUGCAAGGAGGAGGAAAGUGGUGGUGCCUUGGUGUUUCAAUGUUGAAGCUGAUGGCUUGGUUCCUUUGUUUUGUGUUUUUGAAAUCCACAAUUGGUUGAAUUCUUGUCUUACCUUUGAAACU